ACGAACGCUGGCGGCGUGCUUAACACAUGCAAGUCGAACGGUGAAGCCUUCGGGUGGAUCAGUGGCGAACGGGUGAGUAACACGUGGGCAAUCUGCCCUGCACUCUGGGACAAGCCCUGGAAACGGGGUCUAAUACCGGAUAAUACCUUCUCCUGCAUGGGGGAGGGUUGAAAGCUCCGGCGGUGCAGGAUGAGCCCGCGGCCUAUCAGCUUGUUGGUGGGGUAAUGGCCUACCAAGGCGACGACGGGUAGCCG
rnacentral:rRNA from 3 species